ensembl:lncRNA
AUCAAGUGCCACGUCGUCCAUCAUCCGGCUGGGGACAACAUAGGAGUAAAGGGAUCCAGGGGACAGCAUUUGUGAGCCACAAACACUGCAAACCGCCGACAGGUCACAGUGUGGCUUCACUUCCCAUUCUGCACCAUUUUUCUGAGAAGGCAUGUGGGAUGGUAGCUCCUUGACCAUGGAUUGAACCCUUACCCCUUGCACUGGAAGUCGAAGUCUUAAACACAGGACUGCCAGGAAAGUCUUGCUAACACUGUUAAUCCAAAUGGAACACCGAGACUACUCAUUUACAGCCCUGUUACUGGAGGGGGAAAUGGCAACCCAGUCUACUAUUCUUGCCUGGAAAAGUCCAUGGACAGAGGAGCCUGGCA